rnacentral:rRNA from 1 species
GACGGAGGGGGCAAGCGUUGUUCGGAAUUACUGGGCGUAAAGCGUGCGCAGGCGGCGCGUUAAGACAGGUGUGAAAGCCCCGAGCUUAACUUGGGAAUUGCGCUUGUGACUGGCGUGCUGGAGUGUGGCAGAGGGAGGUGGAAUUCCACGUGUAGCAGUGAAAUGCGUAGAGAUGUGGAGGAACACCGAUGGCGAAGGCAGCCUCCUGGGCCAGCACUGACGCUCAUGCACGAAAGCGUGGGGAGCAAACAGG